UACCAGCACCCCGAGUGGUCGGGACGUUUAUUGGGCCUAAAGCGUCCGUAGCCGGUUCUACAAGUCUUCCGUUAAAUCCACCUGCUUAACAGAUGGGCUGCGGAAGAUACUAUAGAGCUAGGAGGCGGGAGAGGCAAGCGGUACUCGAUGGGUAGGGGUAAAAUCCGUUGAUCCAUUGAAGACCACCAGUGGCGAAGGCGGCUUGCCAGAACGCGAUCGACGGUGAGGGAUGAAAGCUGGGGGAGCAAACCGG
rnacentral:rRNA from 1 species